rnacentral:lncRNA from 1 species
ACUCGUGGGCGCUUCUAUUCGUGUUUCACAGACUGUAUGCACUGACAAAGAUAACCUAAAACCCUCUAUAAGAAAGAAGAAGUAGAGGCACCAAAGAAAUGUCUGUCACAGUAGAAUUGCGUCUGAAGAAAUAUAGCAAAUUAUGGGAGUCUGGGCUCAGCUAAGCUUAAGCAACUCCAGAAUGCAGCCUAAAAUGGUUCCCGAAUACAAGAGAAAGCCCACAACUCAAAACAUCCUAUGAGAAGACACUCUGACUCAGAACAACAGAAAUCCUGAAUCUUGAUGUUAUCCAUGGUCAUGACCCUCUGCAAUUAUCCACACUAAUAUUCACCUGUAUGACAGCGGCUGCACCAAAUAUGAAAUUUGAACCAGAAUGAAAUAUGUCAACUAUUAUUCAGUUUUAGAAACUCCCAUUAACCAUACUCUUUGUAGAAGCUUUAAGAUUUUGUCACAAUUUAACUUAAAUAUAUACACUUUACCAAAAUAAUUAGAUUUUGUAAUAUCAUAAUUUAAUUUCAUAAUGACCUUUCUAUUGAUGGGCAAUCCCUUUUCAUGAUUUGGGAUGUACCUUUUUCUAUCCUUGUUUGAUUAUAUGCCAUAUCAUCUGUGGUCCAGCAAGAAAGGAUUACCAAGCCAUGGCUUUUUUAAUCUUGAUUUUGAUGAGUGAAUUAUAUAGUCUCAAUUAUUUAUUUUAAUUCAUUGCACUCCAUGUUUGUUAUAUAACAGAUGCUGAUUGGCCCCAAGGCAUAACCAGGAUUUUAGGAAGGGUGGAAAAUAGGUUAGGUUCCCAAAGCUUUCAUAGAUUUAGUAUCUGUGACAUUUUUGUUAUGCAGCAGACUUGACUAAAUCGUUUAUGUUUUGUUUUACCAGUGAUUAGUGUGUCUGUCAUUUUUUUUUCUUUUCUAUGGUCUUUAGCCUCUUUUGAAUUCUCUUUAGGAUGAUUUUGCCACUUGAGGUAAAGAAAACAUGUGUUCAUAUCACAUAUAUUUACAAAUAUAUAUGAAACAUAAAAUCACAACAAAUAAGAUAGUUGAGUGAGUCUUGAGUUGGUGAUAAAUAAUAUUAGUUAGAAAAGGAUAGCCUGUGGGGAGCUCUGAGAGUUGUGGUAUUGAAGUAAAUGGUGCCAAAGUAGGUACCUGCCCACAUACUUGUGGAAAGAGCUUGAUAAUGACACCUGUGUUUCUUGUUCAUCUGUAUCUAUGAACUGCUUCUAUGGACUACACCUAUGGAGACUGAAACAAAGUCUGUAAACACUAGUACAUCUCUCAUUUCUGCUGUUGUUACAGUGAAUGCAUUCAACAUUUAUGAUUUGCAUUUUUUUAUCAUUAUCCCAUAUUUAAAUACGUCAUUACAAAUCAUUAUACUCACAUGUUUGGACAGUUGAAAAGACUGGUAUGCCUACAUGUUUGUCCAUGCUAAGUAGGGUCACCAAUGUUGCUGUGGUGACACAUACACUUGUAAUUAUAACAAACCAUGCAAAUAAUCAGCCAGCGACUGAAGGAAUCAGUUGAUAUAAAACCAAUGCCAGACCCACCAAACCAAAAAUUGUUUUCAUUCUCACUGGCAGACUGUUAAACACUGAAUGAUAAUAAUUAAUAAUAAUGAUAAUUUAGUUCCAUUUGUUAUAAUUGAUAUUCUUUGCUGUGAUAUGCUGUUUAUUAGCUUUUAAAAUACCCCCCUGUGUGCAAGGAAUGGCUGGGGUUUCCAUCCACUGGCAGCAUGCAAGAUUGAACUCAGGUCAGCAAGACUGCUAGACAAGGGCACUUCUGCUGCACCACAUAGCACACAACAAUUCACAAAUCUUGAGUGGUGCAUAUGUCCUAUGUAUCUUCCUGUUGGAAUCACCAACUUUUGUCUUUACUUUUGCUUGAAGGGAACAUAAAUUCAGUGACAUUCAGUACCUAUUAACAAUUUGGUUUAUAAAAUGAAGGUCAAGAAAUGUCCUUAUUUAAUCACAUUAGCUUAUUAGAAUUCAUUCAAAAUUAUUGUUAUUGCAUUAACUAAAAAAAAAAGGAAAGUUAUGCUGGUAAGUCUACCCUGCUAGAUGCAGAAAAAAGUGAGACACAAAACUGUAAUGAAUAAACAAGAAAGAAAGAAAGAGAAAGAUAUUUUGAUCUUUUUCAGUCUCUGUAGAAUACAGCACUGAGUGUGACAGUUGACAUAUAUUUUGCUUAAGGAGUUAAAAUUAAAAAGAAGAUGCAAGUAUCCAUGAAUAAUUGUCAGUAUUAACAACAGUGAUAUGAAGUUAUUGCUGCUUAUUAUUAUUAUUUAGAAAUACUGAAUGAGGUCCAAACAUGAAGAAAGAAUAUUUUUUACUCGUAUUCCUAAUUUUCUCUAGAACUUUUUAACUUCCAGUAAAAUUCUGGUACAGACUUAAAAGUUUUAUAGAUAUAGCUAAAUGAAAUAGUACUUACAAACAUGACCCAUUAAAAAAAAUAUUUUUUGUUAUUUUCCAUUAAUAUAAAUUGCUAUCCAGAAGAACAUAUUGCAGAGAGUUCAGCAUCAAUUAUAAGAAAAAAAAAAAUGCACAUGUGAAUAACAAUUAUUUUCCCUACUACUAUGUUUUUUGUCAUUCAAUACAUGCAAUAUGAUGACCAGCUUUCUCAAUCCAUUGAUGCUGGGAAAUAUUCAGAGGGCACUUGCUUUUGUUCUGGAAUUGAUUCUAACCCUGCUGCUUUCUCCUCAGUCACUGCAGUCCGUGCUAACUAUUUAGCUAAUACAAUAUAGAGCAUGCUUCACUGUGCCUGGCAUGAGUACUUAUCACCAGGUAUUUGUACCAUGAUGUGACUUGAUGUUAUCCAUCAUAAGUGGGGUAAUAUUGUCCAUGAAAUAAAAAUUUGAAGUGCAGAUGUGGUGCAUUUAAGAUACAGGUAAUGUUGAGCUAAGGGCUUUUGCUUGCAAUUACAGAAUUCAAAACAGUGUGUUAUGUAGCAUAGAAUAAAUUAAUUACUUAGA